CGCGCACGGCACGCCCACCCGGGACGGCCAAGAAACCAGAGAGGAGGAGGAGGGCGCCCAGAGGGAAGCCCCCACACAAAGCCAGGGCACCCCGGAGACGGACCAUGCGUUGUGCCUCGGUGCACUUAUAGGCCACAGACGAUGCGCUGGCGCCGCGAUGACGACAGGCGUCUGCCGGCGAGCCCGGCAAAGCCUUCUCACCUUACGCUACAUCAACAAUCAACACGAGCAUCAAUUUUCAUCAUAAUCAAUCUACUCAAUGUUUCUUCUCUCUUUUCAUCUCUUGUUUCAGCAAGGAGACCCAAGGAGGAGACGCGCCCGCUACGGCAGCCUCGCAGAUAGAGGAGCCAGAGGAGAGGGCGCGCCCAUGGCAGCGGCGCACUCACCAGGCAACAUGCACGCUGUCCGCCGACGGCUGCGCGUGCGCCGAGAGGCAAGCCAGGAGGUCGGGGGACACGCCCGACGGCUCCUAGCUCGCCGUGGCGCCACACCGGAGAUGGCUCUGACUGCGUGAGCUUGAAGAUGCGCCGGUGACAGCCGCGGGGGCGAGGCGUCCACGGCCGUCCUCCCGGCGUUGGCGACCACCAGGCUCGCGCGCGUAGGAGCAAACGCCAGUCGUCCAUCAUCUUCAAGAUGCAAGUUCAGGAUGGAACGUGCACUACAAGUCUACAACACCAAACCAUCGGCGUCUUUCCUCUACACGUCAUAGGUCAGCACAUGUUUGUGUUAACCCAUCUCUCUUCAUUUCCUAGAUCUGUCCUGGAGCACAACAAGCGCCUGGAGGAACUAGCCGGCCGUGCCAUGGAGGCGAGGCUCACGUUCCCGGAUGCACGCAAGACCAUCAUGCUAUUGGAGCUUAUCUACACAAGCCCAUCAUCCUCUUGAGUGUUACGACCUAGGCGUGGUCGGCGCUCGCUAACAAUGAAGCCCGAGACCGGCCUGCAUUGUUCUUGGUACACAGGUCUUUGAUGAACAGGUCAUGAAGUUCACGUCGCACGCACAGGUCGCGAUGCACAUAUUGCGACGAACAGGGCCACGGUGAACAGGUUCAUCGUGAAGGAGAGACACAGGCGUACAGGUUUUGCAACACGCUUUUGGAGAAGACGGCGUGGCGGAAUCGGAGCUCGCCGACGACGCAGCCUGAGAUGCGCCUUUACCUUCAUGACGUACAGAUUCUCAACGGAACCAGUGUCCACAGCGACGCGGCUCACGACCGGCCCCUCCUUCAUGAGGCGCACGUCACUGACGGAUAGUUCAAUAGCGAACAGAUCAUAGGCGUACAGGUUUUGCACUACAUUCUUGAAGGAGACGGUGUGGCGUAACCGGAGCUCGCGAUGACGCAGCCCAAGACUCCCUUCUCCCUUCAUGGCAUACAGAUCUUUGUCCGAGCCAGAAUUUGCAACGACGCAGUACAAGAUCGGUCCCUCCUUCGAGAGGCGCACCCACCAUGGCGAACAGGUCUAUGGAGUCGCGGGCGUAUAGGUCACCCUUUGGCGUAGCACCAGCCCAAGGCGACGUGGCCUCUACAACGCCGCCUUUCCACGGCCUCGUGAGGUGGCCCCUUUUGUCUUGGUAGACCGCCGAAUACUCGGCGUCUAGCCGAGACGAGGCGCUAACCACCUCGGCCAGGCCAAUGUGAGUGCGCGUCAGUUUUUACAUUGACGCCGGUCUGUUCAAACUAUUACUCCCGCAAGGCGCACCCACCAUGGCGGACAGGUCCUUGGCGUAUAGGUCCACGGCGUACAGGUCACCCUUUGGCGUAGCACCAGCCCAAGGCGACGUGGCCUCUACAACGCCGCCUUUCCACGGCCUCGUGAGGCGGCCCCUUUUGUCUUGGUAGACCGCCGAAUACUCGGCGUCGAGCCAAGACGAGGUGCCAACCACCUCGGCCAGGCCAAUGUCAUUGGCGUAUAGGUCCAUGGCGUCGCUGGCGUACAGGUCACCCUUUGGCGUAGCACCAGCCCAAGGCGAUGUGGCCUCUACAACGCCGCCUUUCCACGGCCUCGUGAGGCGGCCCCCUUUGUCUUGUUGGUAGACCGCCGAAUACUCGGCGUCGAGCCAAGACGAGGUGCCAACCACACCGGCCACGCCCAUGUGAGCGCGCGUUAGUUUUUACACUGACGCCGGUCUCCCCAAACUAUUACUCCCGCAAGGCGCGACCCAUUCCACCCCGACAACAAAUACUCCAACGCUGCCAAGAACGACGAGGCACGACGGUCUGAGGUCUACAUCGACGAGCUCGCAUUGUCGUCAUCUUCAAGCAACACCGCCACGCGGCAACACUCGAAUCUACUCCGACUUUUACAUCAACACACUCCCAAACCCCGUCGAAGCUCUGAUGAGGCGAAGCCACUUCACCGACAUGUCUUCUUCCGAUGAAGCUAUCCAUAUCUUGCCGGGCACCGAAGAGGCGAAGGCAAGACACACCGUGUCUGACACCGAUGAGGCGGACACCACCAGGCCGGGCACCGACGAGGCGAAGGCCGACCAUCUGUCUGAGCUGACGAGGCCAGACAUCUUCAUCAUCGGAUAUCGACAAGCCAGAGGGACGUGACUAAGCGUCGCCGGAGCGACGGACGUACCGUUCCACUCUUCUAUUCCACCACACCAUCACCAUCAUCUACACCGAGCACUUGGAGAUGACGAGACUUGAAGACGACGACCAUUGCAGUGGCUUAAUCGGAGGUGGUCCGCGGCUCCGGCUUGCGGACGUAAUUAAUCGGGAGCCUUCCGAGGGCCCGUGAACCAGAACAUCACAAUCGUCGAAGUCAUAUUGACCGAGCUAGCAGGACGUUGAGCGCUUAUGUAAAGGGAUCAUGUAAUUUGUUUUCUCACGAUCGUACAAGUUUCCCUAUGUUUUCUUUGUGUACUUAGUACACUGGCACGCCCA